AGUGGAGUUGCUGGGUCAUACAGUAAGUGUUUAGCUUUAUAAGAUUCUUAAGUGUUUUGCGAAGUUGUACUGUUUUGCAUUCCUACCAGCAGU
rnacentral:pre_miRNA from 1 species